rnacentral:rRNA from 1 species
AGCGAACGCUGGCGGCGUGCCUAAUACAUGCAAGUCGAACGAGAAAGUGGCUUCGGCCAUGAGUAAAGUGGCAGACGGGUGAGUAAUACUUAGGUAACCUGCCCUUAAGAUGGGGACAACCUUCCGAAGGAGGGCUAAUACCGAAUGAGACCACAGUGUCUGCGGACACAGGGGUUAAAGAUGGCCUCUAUUUAUAAGCUAUCACUUAAGGAUGGGCCUAAGCACCGACUAGCUAGUUGGUAAGGUAAUGGCUUACCAAGGCUAUGAUGGUUAGCUGAUCUGAGAGGUUGAUCAGCCACACUGGAACUGAGACACGGUCCAGACUCCUACGGGAGGCAGCAGUAGGGAAUAUUGCGCAAUGGGG